rnacentral:rRNA from 1 species
UGAGGAAUAUUGGGCAAUGCCCGCAAGGGUGACCCAGCAACGCCGCGUGGAGGAUGAAUGUCGUAAGAUUGUAAACUCCUGUUAGAGGGGAAGAAUAGUACCGGUUGGACCGGUAUAUGACUGUACCCUCAGAGAAAGCCCCGGCUAACUACGUGCCAGCAGCCGCGGUAAUACGAAGGAUGCAAGCGUUAUCCGGAAUUAUUGGGUUUAAAGGGUGCGUAGGCGGACUAAUAAGUCAGUGGUGAAAGCCUGCAGCUUAACUGCAGAAUUGCCAUUGAUACUGUUAGUCUUGAGUACAGUUGAGGUAGGCGGAAUGUGUCAUGUAGCGGUGAAAUGCUUAGAUAUGACACAGAACACCGAUUGCGAAGGCAGCUGGCUAAGCUGUAACUGACGCUGAGGCACGAAAGCGUGGGGAGCAAACA